rnacentral:rRNA from 1 species
CUCAGGGAUAGCCUUUUCGAAAGAAAGAUUUAAUACCCUGAUAGUAUGGUGAGAUUGCAUGAUAACACCCAUUUAAAAGAUUUAUUGGUAAACGAUGGGGAUGCGUUCCAUUAGGUAGUAGGCGGGGUAACGGCCCACCUAGCCUGCGAUGGAUAGGGGUUCUGGGAGGAAGGUCCCCCACAUUGGAACUGAGACACGGUCCAAACUCCUACGAGAGGCAGCAGUGAGGAAUAUUGGUCAAUGGACGAGAGUCUGAACCAGCCAAGUAGCGUGAAGGAUGAAGGUCCUACGGAUUGUAAACUUCUUUUAUAAGGGAAUAAAACCUCCCACGUGUGGGAGCUUGUAUGUACCUUAUGAAUAAGCAUCGGCUAACUCCGUG